rnacentral:rRNA from 1 species
UACGUAGGGGGCUAGCGUUGUCCGGAAUCAUUGGGCGUAAAGAGCGUGUAGGCGGUCCGGUAAGUCCGCUGUGAAAGUCGGGGGCUCAACCCUCGAAUGCCGGUGGAUACUGUCGGGCUAGAGUGCGGAAGAGGCGAGUGGAAUUCCUGGUGUAGCGGUGAAAUGCGCAGAGUAUCAGGAGGAACACCGGUGGCGAAGGCGGGGUCUCUGGGCCGUAACUGACGCUGAGGAGCGAAAGCAUGGGUAGCGAACAGG